GAACCCGUGGCGCAGUGGUAGCGCGUAUGAUUCCAGCCUAGUUUGGACAUCCAUAAGGUCAUCCGUUCAAUCCGGGUCGGGUUCA
rnacentral:tRNA from 1 species